GAUGAACGCUGGCGGCGUGCCUAAUACAUGCAAGUCGAGCGAACGGACGAGAAGCUUGCUUCUCUGAUGUUAGCGGCGGACGGGUGAGUAACACGUGGAUAACCUACCUAUAAGACUGGGAUAACUUCGGGAAACCGGAGCUAAUACCGGAUAAUAUUUUGAACCGCAUGGUUCAAAAGUGAAAGACGGUCUUGCUGUCACUUAUAGAUGGAUCCGCGCUGCAUUAGCUAGUUGGUAAGGUAACGGCUUACCAAGGCAACGAUGCAUAGCCGACCUGAGAGGGUGAUCGGCCACACUGGAACUGAGACACGGUCCAGACGCCUACGGGAGGCAGAAGUAGGGAAUCUUCCGCAAUGGGCGAAAGCCUGACGGAGCAACGCCGCGUGAGUGAUGAAGGUCUUCGGAUCGUAAAACUCUGUUAUUAGGGAAGAACAUAUGUGUAAGUAACUGUGCACAUCUUGACGGUACCUAAUCAGAAAGCCACGGCUAACUACGUG
rnacentral:rRNA from 1 species